rnacentral:rRNA from 2 species
GAUGAACGCUGGCGGUAUGCUUAACACAUGCAAGUCGAACGGACUCUUCGGAGUUAGUGGCGGACGGGUGAGUAACGCGUGAGAAUCUGCCUUUUGGUCGGGGAUAACAGUUGGAAACGACUGCUAAUACCGGAUGUGCCUACGGGUGAAAGAUUUAUUGCCAAAAGAUGAGCUCGCGUCUGAUUAGCUAGUAGGUGAGGUAAUGGCUCACCUAGGCGACGAUCAGUAACUGGUCUGAGAGGAUGACCAGUCACACUGGGACUGAGACACGGCCCAGACUCCUACGGGAGGCAGCAGUGGGGAAUUUUCCGCAAUGGGCGAAAGCCUGACGGAGCAAUACCGCGUGAGGGAGGAAGGCUUUUGGGUUGUAAACCUCUUUUAUUAGGGAAGAAGAUCUGACGGUACCUAAUGAAUCAGCAUCGGCUAACUUCGUGCCAGCAGCCGCGGUAAUACGAGGGAUGCAAGCGUUAUCCGGAAUUAUUGGGCGUAAAGCGUCCGCAGGUGGUUUUACAAGUCUGCUGUCAAAGCGUGGAGCUUAACUCCAUAACGGCGGUGGAAACUGUAAGACUAGAGGUCAGUAGGGGUCACGGGAAUUCCCAGUGUAGCGGUGAAAUGCGUAGAUAUUGGGAAGAACACCAGCGGCGAAAGCGCGUGACUGGGCUGAUUCUGACACUCAUGGACGAAAGCUAGGGGAGCGAAAGGGAUUAGAUACCCCUGUAGUCCUAGCCGUAAACGAUGACAACUAGGUGUUGCGCGUAUCGACCCGCGCGGUGCCGUAGCCAACGCGUUAAGUUGUCCGCCUGGGGAGUACGCACGCAAGUGUGAAACUCAAAGGAAUUGAGGGGGGCCCGCACAAGCGGUGGAGUAUGUGGUUUAAUUCGAUGCAACGCGAAGAACCUUACCAGGGCUUGACAUGUCGCGAACCCCGCUGAAAGGUGGGGGUGCCUUCGGGAGCGCGAACACAGGUGGUGCAUAGCUGUCGUCAGCUCGUGUCGUGAGAUGUUGGGUUAAGUCCCGCAACGAGCGCAACCCACGUUCUUAGUUGCCAGCAUUUAGUUGGGCACUCUGGGAAGACUGCCGGUGACAAACCGGAGGAAGGUGUGGAUGACGUCAAGUCAGCAUGCCCCUUACGCCCUGGGCUACACACGUACUACAAUGCUACGGACAAAGAGCAGCCAGCCAGCGAUGGUGCGCUAAUCUCAUAAACCGUGGCUCAGUUCAGAUUGCAGGCUGCAACUCGCCUGCAUGAAGGCGGAAUCGCUAGUAAUCGCAGGUCAGCAUACUGCGGUGAAUACGUUCCCGGGCCUUGUACACACCGCCCGUCACACCAUGGGAGUUGGCCACGCCCGAAGUCGUUACUCUAACCGUUCGCGGAGGAGGGCGCCUAAGGCAGGGCUGAUGACUGGGGUGAAGUCGUAACAAGGUAGCCGUACCGGAAGGUGUGGCUGGAUCACCU